rnacentral:rRNA from 1 species
GGCUCAGGACGAACGCGGGCGGCGUGCCUAAUACAUGCAAGUCGAGCGAAUCUUUGGGAGCUUGCUCCCGAAGGUUAGCGGCGGACGGGUGAGUAACACGUGGGCAACCUGCCUAUAAGACUGGGAUAACUUCGGGAAACCGGAGCUAAUACCGGAUAAUCCUUUUCCUCUCAUGAGGGAAAGCUGAAAGACGGUCUCGGCUGUCACUUAUAGAUGGGCCCGCGGCGCAUUAGCUAGUUGGUGAGGUAACGGCUCACCAAGGCGACGAUGCGUAGCCGACCUGAGAGGGUGAUCGGCCACACUGGGACUGAGACACGGCCCAGACUCCUACGGGAGGCAGCAGUAGGGAAUCUUCCGCAAUGGACGAAAGUCUGACGGAGCAACGCCGCGUGAACGAUGAAGGCUUUCGGGUCGUAAAGUUCUGUUGUUAGGGAAGAACAAGUAUCGGAGUAACUGCCGGUACCUUGACGGUACCUAACCAGAAAGCCA